CUGAAUAAUUCUUUGGUCAAAUGCCUCAGCUGGAAGACUGCCUGAUGGUCUGAUCUCCAUGCCAGUGUCCUAUAGAUCUAUGGAUUUGAACUGUCUUCAUCAUCACACCUCGAAAUGCUUGAUAAGACAAGCUGUUGCUUUCUCAUCUGAAGAUCCCCUUACAGAAGGACAACAAAUGACAUGAUUUUGGACUUCAAUGGGAAACUGUGGGAAAUCCCAGACAGCACUCCAACUCCAAACUCAGAAUCAAACUGAGUUUUCUUUGGUCCUGAGAUUGCUGGCUUUGAACCGCAGAGGCACGUGUUGUCAGCUUCUCUGUUUAUCAGACCUUCUUUGUAUGGCUCCAGCUUGCGGACUGCAGAUCCUGAGACUUCUCAGCCCCCA
rnacentral:lncRNA from 1 species